GGUCUCUUUUAAAUUAAGAAGCCAGUGAAGGAAGUGGCAGCUGAAAGGAAUACAGGACGGUUGUUCACCAUCUUACCCCACAGAUUAUCAAGAAGAUCGAGAUCCCAAAAAGCUAAGGAGCUACUGUCCUGGAAGGGAAGAAAACCCACUCCUGGCUUCAAAAGACAGCCAUUGGCUCUAUAACCCUGGCCAGAGUCCAGGUAGGAGGUCUCCCAUGUUCCCCACUCUGGGGCUCCAACAUCAAUGUGUCUCUACCUCUGAAUCUCUUUCUUCUUGCUCCUAAGUUACUCUUUCCUUAUAUCUUCACUUUGAAUUCCUGAUAAGGGAUAUUUGAUCAGCCCUAUAAGUCCCCAUAAUUUCUAAUGGGGCAGAGCCUUCUUGCCAGGACACCCCGAAGGUUUUGGGCUCCCCGUUGACUGUUUUUGGGUCAAGCAACAAUCCAGCUUUAAUCAGGAUGAGGGGAGGUGUCACUGGGAACAGAUCAUGGCCACUGCUCUAUAAGGCCUUGUCUUGGAAUCUUCCUGGGAGAGACUGUAGGUGAGGAUGUUUCCUGAGAAGUUAGUCUCCACUCUCAAGUAUGGUUGGAUGGAUUUAGGGAAAUAAAUUGGACCAAGCUAUCUGCUAACUUACCA
rnacentral:lncRNA from 12 species